UUUCUAAAUUUGUAUAUUUUCAAAAGGGCAAUUAUUGAUGUGUUUAACGUAAACUAUAUAGGUGUGAUUGUAAUGGGAUAUGUAUUAUAAAAUAUAACCGAUAUAAACGCAUUGUAAAUCUGUUGUUUUUUUUUAAACUGCAAAUAAGUAAAAGUGUUUACAUAGCUCGGAAUCAAGGUCCAGAUCAAGCACCGUUAGAUAUUACAUAUUGCUAGGUAGUAGACGGCAUUCAAAUGUUACAUGCAUGUGCAGUUAUGUUUACAGUUAAUUUGCGCACCAAUCUAGCGAAUUGCAUUUAACUGUACUUUCCAUCGAGAUAUAUAGUAACUGAGAAACAGAGAAUGCUGUUAUUGUUGGCCUUCUGCAGAGAACAGAACUACGGCCUAUCGACAAGCAUAAUUAUGUUGGAAAAGUUAAGUGCCAUACACAACUACGACUUAAGAACAAUCGAGUGUUUCAAAAUUUUCGGCCCACCCAAAGAUUUCCAACAUGAUGAACCGAGCAGCGAUUGCGAAAUUGUGAUUUAUAAUAUACCAAUUGAUGAGUCUGAGGAUAUCUUAGUGGCCACUCUACUAGCUUUCAGCAAUUUGUACUACCUGAAGAUAGUGAUCAGCAAAGAUGGUAGGCACAGGGGCAUUGCUUUCGCGAAAUUCUCGAACGCGUCCGAAGCAAGAAAGGCGAUCAAAAAGUUGGAAACUACUAUGAUUUACACACACAACAAUUUGCAUGCCAAACCCUGUGAUACGUGCAACACGAACUUGUAUAUCGGUAUUUAUUUUUGUUAAUCAUCUUGAACUUCGUGAUUGAUAUUUAGAUUUUAGGUAAUAUAAAUAUAAAUAGGAACUCGUUACAUAAAAUGGAACAGAUUAUACUGAAACUAGUUCACGGAUUGGAAUCUUUCGUAGUAUAUUCGCUGAAUAAGUUCAAUAGGUAUAUAAUUUCUUUAAUAUUUUAUACAGUGCAAGAUCUGCUGUUAUCUAUUCAUGACAUUUGCAAAUGUGAUAUUUUUAUACAAUCUCCGGAAAUACUCAUCAGCACCGUACCACCAGUUGCAAGGCUAGCAGAAUCCAUGCCAAUCUGCAAAUACAUUUACAAAAGGCAAGCGGACUGCAAAUACGAGUGGCCCGAAGAAAUUUAUAUUUCGCCUAAA